UGGGAUGUAGCUUAGUGGCAGAGCACUUGCCUGGCAUGUAUGUAAUCCUGGAUUGGAUCCCCAGCACCACAG
rnacentral:tRNA from 1 species